rnacentral:ncRNA from 1 species
GGGUCGCAGUUAAUGACUACCGCCUCCAGUGUACAAUGGUCUCCAAUAUGAGUAAAAACUAUCAUUUGGACUAGGUGAGAUGCCUUUGGUCCAUC